UAACGCGUGGGUAACCUGCCUCAUACAGGGGGAUAACAGUUAGUAAUGACUGCUAAUACCGCAUAAGACCACAGCACCGCAUGGUGCGGGGGUAAAAACUCCGGUGGUAUGAGAUGGACCCGCGUCUGAUUAGCUAGUUGGUAAGGUAACGGCUUACCAAGGCGACGAUCAGUAGCCGACCUGAGAGGGUGACCGGCCACAUUGGGACUGAGACACGGCCCAAACUCCUACGGGAGGCAGCAGUGGGGAAUAUUGCACAAUGGGGGAAACCCUGAUGCGGCGACGCCGCGUGAGCGAAGAAGUAUUUCGGUAUGUAAAGCUCUAUCAGCAGGGAAGAAAAUGACGGUACCUGACUAAGAAGCACCGGCUAAAUACGUGCCAGCAGCCGCGGUAAUACGUAUGGUGCAAGCGUUAUCCGGAUUUACUGGGUGUAAAGGGAGCGUAGACGGAUGGGCAAGUCUGAUGUGAAAACCCGGGGCUCAACCCCGGGACUGCAUUGGAAACUGUUCAUCUAGAGUGCUGGAGAGGUAAGUGGAAUUCCUAGUGUAGCGGUGAAAUGCGUAGAUAUUAGGAGGAACACCAGUGGCGAAGGCGGCUUACUGGACAGUAACUGACGUUGAGGCUCGAAAGCGUGGGGAGCAAACAGGAUUAGAUACCCUGGUAGUCCACGCCGUAAACGAUGACUACUAGGUGU
rnacentral:rRNA from 1 species